UACAUUUGCAAUGCUUUUGGUUUCCGAUGUUUGUCGGAAUUAAAAUGGGAAUUCGGUGAAAAUCCGAAACUGUCCCCGCAACUGUAAAUCGUGCUUCGAUGAAAACCGAAGGAAUUUUUUGCAAAAAAGCCAUUAUCUUAUUUGAAAAGAUGAGAAGGUGCAAAAAAUGCGAAAGUCAGGAGACCUGCCAAAAACAUUCAUAAUCA
rnacentral:ncRNA from 1 species